AUAAAUUUAUUUAUAUAAAAUUUAAAUUAUAAAUAUAUUUUAUUAUUUAAAAUAAUAAUAUAAUAAAAUAAUUUUAGUAUAUAUUUAAAAAAAAUUAAAUUAAUUUAUAUAAUUUUAGUAUUGAUAAAGAAAAUUAUUAAUUAUUAUAAAAAUAAUAUUAUUUAUUUUUACCUUUUGUAUCAGGGUUUAUUAAAUUAAUUAAUUUUAUAAAUAAAUUUCGAAAUAAAUUGAUCUAAAUUUAUAUGAUAAUUAAUGUUUAAUUAUUAUUAUUAAUAUAAAUUUAGAAAUGAAAUACUUUACAAAAUUUAUAAUAUCUAAUUAUUUUAUAAAUAAAUUUAAUUUAAUUAUUAAUAAAAUAAAAUUUAAUUAAUUAAAUUUUUAUAAAUUAAUAAUAAAAUUAUUAGGGCUAAUCUUAAUAAUUAUUUUAAUAUAAUAAUAUAUAAAUUUAUUUUUAUAAAAAUAAUAAUUUUUAUUAAUAAAUAAUAUUUAAUAAUUAAUAUAUAAAAAAUUAAAUUUAUAAGUUAUUUAAUAAAAUAUAAAAUAAAAUUUUUAAAUUUUUAAAAAUUUAUUAUAAUGAUAAAAUUAGUAAAUUUUAUAAAAUAAUUAAUUUUAUUAAAUUAUAGAUUAAUUAAAGGAAUUAGGCAAUAAUAUUUAUUCAUCUGUUUAUUAAAAACAUAGUUUAUUGAUAAUAAUAUUAAAUAAAAUCUGCUCAAUGAUUAAUUAUUAAAUAGCUGCAGUAUCCUAACUGUACAAAGGUAGCAUAAUCAAUUGUCUUUUUAUUAAAGUCUAGAAUGAAGGAUUAAAUGAAAUAAUAACUGUCUCUAAUUAAUUAAAUAUUAAAUUUAAUUUUAAGUUAAAAUUCUUAAAUGUUUUUAAAAGACGAGAAGACCCUAUAGAAUUUUAUAUUUAAUUUAUUUUAAUUAUUUAUUUAAAUAAUUUAAAUAAAUAUAAUUAUUAAAUUGGGGAAAUUUUAAAAUUUGAAUAAUUUUUAUAAUUUAUAAAUAAUUAUUUUUAAAUUUAUAUUAAUAAAAUUAAUUUUAUUAAAUUUAUUAAAAUUACCUUAGGGAUAACAGCGUUAAAUUUUUAAAGAGUUCAUAUUGAUAAAAAAUUUUGCGACCUCGAUGUUGAAUUAAAAUAAAUUAUUAUUGUAGAUAAUAAUAAAAUUUAGUCUGUUCGACUAUUAAAAUUUUACAUGAUUUGAGUUUAGAUCGGUGUAAGCCAGAUCGGAUUCUAUCUUUAAAUUAUUAAAAUAUUUUUGUACGAAAGGACUUAAUAUUGAUAUUAAAUUAUUUAUUAUUGAAUAAUAAUA
rnacentral:rRNA from 1 species